GAAUCAGUUUCACCCCCUUGGGGGCGAUAUUGCCCCUGUUGAGAAGGAAUGGCAUCUGCUAAUUUCUUAUUUCCAGGCAGGGGACGGAUGUAUUUUCUGUAAGAAUCUCACCCCUUUCCCCCUCUUAUCCAUACAGGAUUGUUAAGUGACAAGCAGAGGAAACUUUUUAAAACAUCUUUGAAGAUGCAUGAAGGAAGAGUGGCGAGAAGAAGGAGAGAAAUGCACCGGAGGCAUUUCUGCCCGGUGUGUGUGCACCCUGCCUGUGCUGCUGAGAGCAGAUUCUGAGAACCAGCACCUCUAAACCAGGAGGCCGGCUCCUGGCAGCAGCGGUGCAGGGGUGUGUGGCUGUAUGUCAGCAGCCCAAGGAAGCAGCCACCCACCGCCACCCCAGCUGGCUGCUGGACCUGCACUGCUGCUCUGCAGCCUGCAGACCCUUCCAAGCCAAGCAGGUGAGGAGCGCAAUUACAGCUCCGUGGCGUGGCGAUUGGGCUCGGCCGAUCCGCUCCUGCUAUUAAUUAAUCUUACAAAGGGGGCUCAUUUCCUGGCAUUCAAAUUGACAAGAGACCAGAGAACAGAAAAACCCUUUCAACCAGCUCCAGCUCACGGAGGGGAAGAGGUAUCGGAGGAGAGAGCCCCACAGUAUUUGAGGUGGAGGGCACAUUUGAUACUCUCUGUGCAUUCUGCUGAUUGAAUGAUUUUUGUUCAGGGAGAGCUCUUUUACUGAUCUUUUACCUGCAAAAGCCUUCCACAGAAGGCGAGGCAGCACCAAUGUAGCUGCGUUUUGACAGAGGAGAUUUACAGGAGCUUGCUUCCCGGGUCUCAGGCUCCCGAAUGCAUCUUCUUGAACAUUACACUUCACUUAAAAAAAGAAAAGUGUGCAGUUUACUCACACAGAAAAGCCCUUGGAAGAGGAGGAGAUGAAGAGCGGCAAGAAAGCAGUGUAACAGACAAGAGAUUAAAGCUUUUUAUUCAGUAUCUCUUUCGUAUUCAAAUUGUGCUAAGGGCUCUGUGAAACUUAGAAGCGAAGCUUGUUCAGGAGGGCUUCUAAAGUGUGUACAUGGAUUUCAUGGGAAUAGAAAAGAAGCCACAGCCUGGGUAAUGAAAGAAA
rnacentral:lncRNA from 1 species